UACAGGUACUACUGCAGUACAGACGACAGUACAGACAACAUAUACAGGUACUACUGCAGUACAGACGACAGUACAGACAACAUAUACAGGUACAACUGCAGUACAGACAACAUAUACAGGUACAACUGCAGUA